GUGACCACCUCGAGCUUGGUGCUCCCAUCUGCAAUGGGGUGAUUGUCAUCCCUUCUUCUGGGGGUCACGGCUGCCUUCCUGCACCGACCUCAACACGGGGAUGGUGGGAAACAUGGAAGAGAUUCCGGCGCCGGCUGCCAGGGGAGCCCCUCGCAGAGAUGAGGCCACCCGGCCGCUGGGAGAGGGGGAGGCCCAAGAGACCCUGUGAUUUCCAUGUUGCUCCUGGUCUGGCACCAACUCUGCCCCACUGUCCCCAUGACCUCCUGAGACCCCGACACCUCAACCCCAGAUUCAGGAGAGUGGGAGAGCUCAUCUCCCUGCCCCCCUCAGGCUGGCCUGAGGACCAGGCUGUAGACUCCUGUUCAGUGAGGCCAAGGGGAUGCCAGCCACACAGCAAGAUGGACAGCAUAUGAGGACACAGAGAGGCAGACACACAGGGGACGCAGACACACAGGGGACGCAGACACACGGGACGCAGACACGCAGGGGACGCAGACACACAGGAUGUAUGGAGAACACCCCGCCUGGUCACUGUCCCUCUGGGAUCACACCCUCUGCCACCCAGAGCUUCAUCCUCAAAGGCCUCCUGGGUCCGGGAAGCUUGGUCCCGUAGCUGGUGCGGCUGGGACGACAGUGCUCAUCACUCAGUCGCUCACUCGCUCAUUCGUCUCACAGACACUGGCGGGAGGCCUGCCAAGGUCUCAGCAGCGCUCCAUGUGCUGGGGUUCUCGCAGGAGCGGACGACACUGUUCCAUCCCCCUGGGGUCACCAUGGCUGCCGAAAGAGGGCUGCCCAGGGCACAGGACUCUCCCAAGCCAGUGGCUGCGAGCAAGGGACAGAAACAGACCACACACCCUUGGCCAUGCCACCCGAGCCAGCCCUGAAGCCCCCUACUGCAGAGGUACGGCUCCUGGGCUGGGAGGAACAGAUGUGUGGAACAGAAAGGCGCUGUGUGCUGUGGAGGCUGCAGAGUCAGGGACAAGGGCAUCAUCAGCAGACACCAAAGAUUCUUCACCCUUGAUGGAAACACGCAUCAGCAAUCAGUUCAUCCAACAUUUCUGCCUUGUGAGCCGUUCCUUGGGGUCUGGUGUGUGAGCCCCUCCCGCCCCCUCCCAGGGCCCGAGCCCCGGCUCCCUGGUGACUCAAGCUCUUCCUCUGGUUGCUCCAGGGCUGGGCUUUCUUGAGAGAAGGGUGAGGGCUGGAAGUCCACGGGAAGAAGACAAGCCCGGGCAGGGCUCCUCCAGGUCAGCCACCUGCCCUCCGAGGAGGGGGAACCAGUGUCCUCUGUCCUCUCCCGGCUGCGGCCGCCCACACGUCCUCACCCCCAGCCCAGAAGGCUUUUCCUGCACCUGCAGCCCAGACCCCUGGCCAGGCAGCCGUCCUCCCCCGGCCUGGUCCCAGGUGGGAGUGAGCCCUCAUCUCAGGUCCUUCAAGUCCUGCCUUUGUUUUCUUCGAGAAGUGCAUGCUGACUUCACGCUUCACGGAAACUUGUGAGCUUCAUUUUAAACAUUAGUCCACCUCCAUGUGAUGGAGCCCCUUAGUGCCCUUGGCUACGGCCGGAACUCUGGACCCCCAGGCCCCUCACUGUGGGGGUCAGGGCAGGGCUUUCUUCUCAUCAUUUUGGCAAAUCUGAC
rnacentral:lncRNA from 1 species